rnacentral:rRNA from 1 species
GGUAUUUUGACUAUACGAAGGUAUUGAAAUAAGAUUUUAAAUGAGUGCUAAGAGAAUGAUUAAACAAUUAAAAGCUUUCUUUAAUUGAAUAAUUGAAUUUAAUUUUUUAGUGCAAAAGCAAAAAUAAAAAUUAGGGACAAGAAGACCCUAUGAAUUUUUUAUUAAAUUUUAUAAAACUUUAUAUAAAAUUUAAUUUAAUUGGGGUGAUGGAAAAAGAAUAAAUAUCUUUUUUUUUAAAAAAAAAUUGGUUCCGUUUUUAGCGAUUAAAUGAAAAAAAUACUCUAGGGAUAACAGCGUAAUAAUUUUGGAUAGUUCAUAUAGAUAAAAUAGUUUGCGACCUCGAUGUUGGAUUAGGAUUCUUUUUUGGUGAAGAAGU